rnacentral:rRNA from 1 species
CGUAGGGUCCAAGCGUUAUCCGGAAUCACUGGGCGUAAAGCGUGCGUAGGUGGCGCGUUAAGUGAGAUGUUAAAUCGUGGGGCUCAACCCUGUCGGUGCAUCUCAUACUGGCGUGCUAGAGGACAGCAGAGGCAAGUGGAAUUUGUAGUGUAGCAGUGAAAUGCGUAGAUAUUACAAGGAACACCAAUGGCGAAGGCAGCUUGCUGGGCUACUCCUGACACUGAGGUACGAAAGCGUGGGGAGCGAACAGGAUUAGAUACCCUGGUAGUCCACGCCGUAAACGAUGCAUACUAGACGUAUGGGGUAUCGACCCCCUGUGCGUCGAAGCUAACGCGAUAAGUAUGCCGCCUGGGAAGUACGGCCGCAAGGCUA